GAGAGCCUGCGAGACUGCCGGGGAGACUUGCGCGCAGGCGCGGCUUCACGCUCUUUCGGAAGCCGGCCGCGUGGCUGGGAGUCAUGGCGGCGUUGUCUGUGCUGAGCGAGGCGUGCAGGCUCUGGCCUUUGCGGGGACCUUUCUUUGGUACCUGAAGAGACUGGGAGAAACAAGAGCUGCAGGUUGGAGCUAAAAGUGAUGGAUGGAGCCCUAAAAUGGAAGGUAUCGGUUGUGGACUUUUGAACAAAGUCGCAUGAAGACCAUUCUAUGUCGAGUGUAAGGAUGUUCAUGUUAGAAUUUCUGUAAAUGGUGCUCUCCCAGCCUCAGUUUUGGGGGUGAAAGGACCUGACUAGCAGCCACGCCAUCAGCUGCCCACAAGCUGGACCAGACAGGAGUGGAGUGUUUGUUGUGCCCGUAAGCAGAGACCUUCCCGACAGGCUUGGGUGGAGCAUAGUUACCUGUCUUCCCUGCCCUGGACUUCAGGUGAUGCUGCAUGGUGGUGCCUGCGGUGUGCAAGACAGAACUGUGAACUGCUUUGCCUGAG